GAUGAACGCUAGCGGCAGGCUUAACACAUGCAAGUCGAGCGGUAAGGCCCUUUCGGGGGUACACGAGCGGCGAACGGGUGAGUAACACGUGGGUGACCUGCCCUCAGCUCUGGGAUAAGCCUGGGAAACCGGGUCUAAUACCGGAUAUGACUCCAUGACGCAUGUUGUGGGGUGGAAAGCCUUGUGCGGCUGAGGAUGGGCCCGCGGCCUAUCAGCUUGUUGGGGGGUGAUGGCCUACCAAGGCGACGAUGGGUAGCUGGUCUGAGAGGAUGAUCAGCCACACUGGCACUGAGACACGGGCCAGACUCCUACGGGAGGCAGCAGUGGGGAAUAUUGGACAAUGGGCGAAAGCCUGAUCCAGCGACGCCGCGUGGGUGAAGAAGGCCUGCGGGUU
rnacentral:rRNA from 1 species